UACGUAGGGUGCAAGCGUUAAUCGGAAUUACUGGGCGUAAAGCGUGCGUAGGCGGUUCGCUAAGACAGAUGUGAAAUCCCCGGGCUUAACCUGGGAACUGCAUUUGUGACUGGCGGGCUAGAGUAUGGCAGGAGGGGGGUAGAAUUCCACGUGUAGCAGUGAAAUGCGUAGAGAUGUGGAGGAAUACCGAUGGCGAAGGCAGCCCCCUGGGCCAAUACUGACGCUCAUGCACGAAAGCGUGGGGAGCAAACAGG
rnacentral:rRNA from 1 species